UGGUUUGGGUUUAGAAAUAUUUGCAAGGUUUAUAAUAUAGAAUGGAAAAGGGAAAGCGUUGUUUUUGAUGAUAGAGAUGGUAAAUUUGCUUGAUUUUACAAUGAUAGAACUAGCUAAUUGUAGCGCACACCAAGAUGAUUUAUACAUUAAUGCAGCUCAUUACUUCAUGAAGAAUAACCGAUCAAAGGAGAAGCUAUUUUGCUGAUAGGUGGAGGUUCAAGUGAGGAAGUUGUAUUGUGUUAGCAGGGCCCUUUCAACUCUACCAAUUAAUCUCGAGAAUGCUGCUCGAAGUGAAGCUGAAAUUGAGAAGACACUUCAGGCUGGUGAGUGGUGAACAACUUGUUCGUGUUAAUCAGGAUACACGUUUGAACUUUAGAGUACUUGACCUCAGAACCCCAACUAAUCAAAGGAAUUUUUCGCAUUCAACCACAAGAUGGAAAUGCAUUUAGACAAUUCUUAUUAUCUGGAGGCUCUGUUGAAAUCCACACUCCAAAGUUGAUUGCUGGGUCAAGUGAGGGUGGAGCUGCUGUUUUCAGACUGGGCUAUAAAGGGCACCCUGCUUGCCUUAUCCAAUCACCACAGCUUCAUAGGCAAAUGGCAAUAUGUGCUUAUUUUGGCCGUGUUUUUGAGAUUAGUCCUGCGUUUAGGGCUGAGGAUUCCUUCACACACAGACAUCUGUGUGAGUUUCCUGGUCUUGAUGUUGAAAUGGAGAUUAAGAAGCAUUAUUAUGAGAUUAUGGAUAAAGUCGAUAGGUUGUUUGUCUCAAUAUUUGAUAGCUUGAACCAGAAUUGUAAGAAGGCUCUUGAAGCUGUGCAGUGGCACACCAGUACCCAUUUGAACCUUUAAAGUAUCUUUGUCAGACUCUACGGCUUACAUAUGAAGAAGGGGUUCAGAUGCUCAAGGUAAGCUUAAAAAAACUUUCUUAGUACCUAAUUCACAAAUCAUGAACAAUUUUUUUUUUUUUUUGAAUUGGGGGACUUUCUUCUUUCUUAAUAAGAUAUAUGCUCCGUAAACAUGGAGGGGUUAUACAAGAACAGUGGUAAUAACAAAGUCUUGGGCCACUAGUUUAGGCAUGCUACGUGGAUCAGACGAUGCUAUUGCAUUAUGAAAAAAGUUAUGUUGUUCUAUUUUCUAAUUUCUAAUUUCAACUAAAAAGUCAACGAAAACAUUAUUCACAAUAGUCAAAGGUUUAUUAGAAAAUGUGAUGGAGUCCAUAUUGUUAAUUGAAAAAGAAUUGGGGUUAAGGAAAAUUUAUGUCAAAGACCUCAUUCUCAGUCCGUAUCAUAAUCUUGUGUGCUUGCAAGUUAAAACGGGUUUAUAGUCCCAAAAAGGAUGAAAUUAUUGUCUUGAUGCCUAAUCAGGUUCCCUGUGUUCUGUUCUAAAGGGUGCUUCAUUGAUGCUGAGGCUUCCCCUCUAUUUUCCUCUUAUAGAUGGUUCUUGGUUUUCUGUGUUCUGUUCUAAGGGAUGCUUCAUUGAUGCUGAGGCUUCCCCUCUAUUUUUCCUCUUAUAGAUGGUUCUCGAUUUUCUUUGCAAUUGUUGAUUGACCUCAACACUCAGAAUUUUGUUUAUCUUCAUUAAUAAGAAUAUUAGAAAAUGGUAUGUCUUGCAUGUACUUAUAAUUUUGCUUCAUAAGAUGCUGGAGAAGAGAUUGAACCUUUCGGUGACUUUAAUACCGAAGCUGAAAGGAAGUUGAGGCAGCUAGUUAUAGAGAAGUAACUCUCUCUCUUAGAGAUUGAACCUUUUGGUGACUUGAAUACUGAAGCUGAAAGGAAGUUGGGGCAGCUAGUUUUACUCUAUCUCUCUCGUCACACACACAACAAAGAAGUGUAAUAAGAGUAAAGUGACAAAUAGAUUCUCGAAGAUGUUGACCUUGGACUAAUUAGUCCUUGAAGAAGAAAAAAGUAUCAAUUAGGUCCUCCAAGAUAGCAAACGGUGGACAUGUAUCUCCUUCUGUCGAUGAAUAGUGUAAAACAAAACCGAAUUGUCCAUAUAUUUCAUUAUUUACAGUGGUGCAUGUCUCGUUAUUGUCACGUGAGCAGAAAAACGAUGUAGUUUUAGACAGUGAAGCAUUUAGUAUCUUGAGUUUUCAUAUACAGUUUAGCAGCUAAUCUAUUUAUAACAAAUCCUAUGAAGUUUCGUUCUAACAAUUGUUAUCUACAUGACUAUCUUUCAUAGAUAAACAUGUCAAAGUAAUUAACAGUACAUAUAAGCAUCACUGUUAAGUUUUAGUUGAUGAAUUGAUAUAAAGACAUCAUGUAUCCACUGUUUGCUAUCCUGGUUGACCAAAUUGGUACUUUUUUUUUCUCUAGGGACUAAUUACUCCGAAGUCAAAAUCUUCAAGAACCUAAUUGUCACUCUACUCAAUAUUUUAUUUAUUUUUUAAUGACCUAUUAUUUUGGAUUAACUUGUUCUAAUUUUUGUUUAUAGUUUUGGUACGGAGUUCUAUAGUACCCCUUUGUUGUCGGACCAUUUUACACAAUGCCUUGCUAUAGUAAUCCACAGUACUCCAACUCAUUUGAUGUCUUUAUUAGAGAUGAGGAGAUCAUUUCAGGAACUCAGUGUGUCCACGAUCCAGAAAUGUUGGAAAAAUGGGCUGAGUCUUGUGGCAUUAAUGUCAAGACAAUAUCUACAUAUUUUGAUUCUUUCAAGCAUUUUUCAUGGCCUCUUUCUCGGUUCCUCUUUGCCAUAUUCAGUGAUUCUCUUCGUAACUCUGAUCUGGUGCACCAACACACCAUGGCUUUUGGAGAUGGAUUGGAGCCCGUAGUAAUGCUCUUCUGUGGCCUGAAUAACGUUCGAAGAGUAUAGAAUGAUAGAAUGGUGUUUGAUUGCAUUAGGUAGGUAGUGUUUCGCACUGGGUAUUUUAUUCACUAGUGGUCAUAUGAUUAGGAUGGUGCAUUUUGAGUUUCCUUUAACCGAAGUUUGAGGCAAGACGUAAUAUGAAUGUCUCCCCGUUUGGUACCAAAUUUUGUUUCAUGUUUAUUUGAUGAGUGAUGAAUUUCUACAUAAUGGUGGAAACAUGACCAAGAAAAUAAAAGGUAAAAAUAAAGAACCUUGUUUGGCA